CCUACGGGAGGCAGCAGUGGGGAAUAUUGGACAAUGGGCGAAAGCCUGAUCCAGCCAUGCCGCGUGUGUGAAGAAGGCCUUCGGGUUGUAAAGCACUUUCAGUUGGGAAGAAAGCCUUGGGGCUAAUACCCUCGAGGAAGGACAUCACCCACAGAAGAAGCACCGGCUAACUCCGUGCCAGCAGCCGCGGUAAUACGGAGGGUGCGAGCGUUAAUCGGAAUUACUGGGCGUAAAGCGCGCGUAGGCGGUCUUAUAAGCCGGUUGUGAAAGCCCCGGGCUCAACCUGGGAACGGCAUCCGGAACUGUCAGGCUAGAGUGCAGGAGAGGAAGGUAGAAUUCCCGGUGUAGCGGUGAAAUGCGUAGAGAUCGGGAGGAAUACCAGUGGCGAAGGCGGCCUUCUGGACUGACACUGACGCUGAGGUGCGAAAGCGUGGGUAGCAAACAGGAUUAGAUACCCGGGUAGUC
rnacentral:rRNA from 1 species